rnacentral:rRNA from 3 species
GAAGAGUUUGAUCAUGGCUCAGAUUGAACGCUGGCGGCAGGCCUAACACAUGCAAGUCGAACGGUAACAGGAAGCAGCUUGCUGCUUUGCUGACGAGUGGCGGACGGGUGAGUAAUGUCUGGGAAACUGCCUGAUGGAGGGGGAUAACUACUGGAAACGGUGGCUAAUACCGCAUAACGUCGCAAGACCAAAGAGGGGGACCUUCGGGCCUCUUGCCAUCAGAUGUGCCCAGAUGGGAUUAGCUUGUUGGUGAGGUAACGGCUCACCAAGGCGACGAUCCCUAGCUGGUCUGAGAGGAUGACCAGCCACACUGGAACUGAGACACGGUCCAGACUCCUACGGGAGGCAGCAGUGGGGAAUAUUGCACAAUGGGCGCAAGCCUGAUGCAGCCAUGCCGCGUGUAUGAAGAAGGCCUUCGGGUUGUAAAGUACUUUCAGCGGGGAGGAAGGUGUUGUGGUUAAUAACCGCAGCAAUUGACGUUACCCGCAGAAGAAGCACCGGCUAACUCCGUGCCAGCAGCCGCGGUAAUACGGAGGGUGCAAGCGUUAAUCGGAAUUACUGGGCGUAAAGCGCACGCAGGCGGUCUGUCAAGUCGGAUGUGAAAUCCCCGGGCUCAACCUGGGAACUGCAUUCGAAACUGGCAGGCUUGAGUCUUGUAGAGGGGGGUAGAAUUCCAGGUGUAGCGGUGAAAUGCGUAGAGAUCUGGAGGAAUACCGGUGGCGAAGGCGGCCCCCUGGACAAAGACUGACGCUCAGGUGCGAAAGCGUGGGGAGCAAACAGGAUUAGAUACCCUGGUAGUCCACGCCGUAAACGAUGUCUACUUGGAGGUUGUGCCCUUGAGGCGUGGCUUCCGGAGCUAACGCGUUAAGUAGACCGCCUGGGGAGUACGGCCGCAAGGUUAAAACUCAAAUGAAUUGACGGGGGCCCGCACAAGCGGUGGAGCAUGUGGUUUAAUUCGAUGCAACGCGAAGAACCUUACCUGGUCUUGACAUCCACAGAACAUUCCAGAGAUGGAUUGGUGCCUUCGGGAACUGUGAGACAGGUGCUGCAUGGCUGUCGUCAGCUCGUGUUGUGAAAUGUUGGGUUAAGUCCCGCAACGAGCGCAACCCUUAUCCUUUGUUGCCAGCGGUCCGGCCGGGAACUCAAAGGAGACUGCCAGUGAUAAACUGGAGGAAGGUGGGGAUGACGUCAAGUCAUCAUGGCCCUUACGACCAGGGCUACACACGUGCUACAAUGGCGCAUACAAAGAGAAGCGACCUCGCGAGAGCAAGCGGACCUCAUAAAGUGCGUCGUAGUCCGGAUUGGAGUCUGCAACUCGACUCCAUGAAGUCGGAAUCGCUAGUAAUCGUGGAUCAGAAUGCCACGGUGAAUACGUUCCCGGGCCUUGUACACACCGCCCGUCACACCAUGGGAGUGGGUUGCAAAAGAAGUAGGUAGCUUAACCUUCGGGAGGGCGCUUACCACUUUGUGAUUCAUGACUGGGGUGAAGUCGUAACAAGGUAACCGUAGGGGAACCUGC